UAUGGCUCAAGUGUAUACAGGUGCAUUGGUCAUAGUGGAUGUGCUCCUGAUGCUCUUGAAAAUUCUUUAUUGCAUCGGUGAAGCUAUAUAUAAAUUGUUCGUACCUACGAAAGAGAAAGACGUCACAGGUGAAAUUGUUUUGAUUACUGGGACUGGUCAUGGAAUUGGAAAGGAACUUGCUCUUAAAUACGCCUCUUUGGGAGCUACAGUAGUGUGUUGGGAUCUGAAUCAAGAAAUGAAUCAAGAGACAGUAGCAGAAAUUAAAAAAAUGGGUGGAACAUCUGCUUAUGCUUACAAGUGCGACGUCACGGAUAGAGAAGAAGUAUUAAAAGUCGCCGAAAGGGUUAAACAAGAAGUAGGAAAUGUUACAAUACUAAUUAACAAUGCCGGUAUAAUGCCUUGCCAUUCAUUUUUGGAUUAUACACCGGAAGAAAUUAGAAAAAUAUUUGACGUCAAUGUCUUGGCUCAUUUUUGGGUAUUGCAAGCCUUUUUACCAAGCAUGAUUACAAAAAAUCAUGGUCAUAUAGUGGCACUUUCCUCGAUGGCAGGUAUAAUUGGACUGACUAACUUGGUACCAUAUUGUGCAUCAAAAUUUGCAGUUCGAGGUUUUAUGGAAGCUCUCAGCGAAGAGCUUCGAGAAUACUCUAAAGGAAAGAACUUGAACAUAAACUUUACAACUAUUUAUCCGUACAUGGUGGACACUGGUCUCUGUAAGAAACCUAAAAUAAAAUUGGAUUGUUGGACUCAGGGCGGUUCUCGAACAUCUUGGCGAUGCUUCCACCGAAAGAGGUUGCUAAUCUAAUAGUAAAAGCACAAAGAAAGAACUAUUCAAACAUAUCCAUUCCUAGAGUCUUGCUCUCAUUAAACACAACGUUUAGAAAUUUUCCUGAAAAAUCAUUACAUCAUCUAAUAGACUUCAUUGAUAGUGGUGUAGAAGUACCAAAUUAAUGGAAUGUUGAUAAUUAUAAUGAAUUUUUCCUAUGAGAAAAUUAUUCAUUAUGUUAUUAGAUUAUAUAUAUUGCGUGCAGUGUUUAUUGUACAUACAGCUUUUAUAUAAUAUAUAAAUGUAUCAAUCAAAUGAUUUUUAAGUCGGCACUAUUACGAGAAAAAAAUCUACAUAUUAUUAAGUACUAAUCUGAAAAUUUUAUAAAAGCGAGGUCCUAAUUAUUGUCAUAUAAGUUAGAAAUAAGUAUAUAAGCUUAUAAUGUGCCAGGACAAAAUAAUGUGUACAUUAUGAUUAUUUUAAUACAUGUAUUUUCGUGUAUAUGUACUGUUUGCUAUUGUAUAAGAAAAUAUACUGUGCUCUAUUCUA